rnacentral:snRNA from 1 species
GUGCUUGCUUUGGCAGCACAUAUACUAUAACUGGAAUGGUACAGAGAAGAUUAGCAUGGCUCUUGUGCAAGAAUGACACACAAAUUCACAAAGCGUUCCAUGUUAAA